GAGUUUGAUCCUGGCUCAGAGUGAACGCUGGCGGCGUGCCUAAUACAUGCAAGUCGAACGGAGAUAUGAGGGCUUGCUCUUAUAUCUUAGUGGCGCACGGGUGAGUAAUGUAUAGCUAAUCUGCCCUACACUAGAGGACAACAGUUGGAAACGACUGCUAAUACUCUAUACUCCUUCUUUACAUAAGUUAAGUCGGGAAAGUUUUUCGGUGUAGGAUGAGGCUAUAUCGUAUCAGCUAGUUGGUGAGGUAAUGGCUCACCAAGGCUAUGACGCGUAACUGGUCUGAGAGGAUGAUCAGUCACACUGGAACUGAGACACGGUCCAGACUCCUACGGGAGGCAGCAGUAGGGAAUAUUGCUCAAUGGGGGAAACCCUGAAGCAGCAACGCCGCGUGGAGGAUGACACUUUUCGGAGCGUAAACUCCUUUUCUUGGGAAAGAAUUGUGACGGACCCGAGGAUAG
rnacentral:rRNA from 1 species